rnacentral:rRNA from 1 species
GGAGAAAAGCAGGGGAUCGAAAGACCUUAUGCUUUUGGAGCGGCCGAUGUCUGAUUAGCUAGUUGGUAGGGUAAUGGCUUACCAAGGCGACGAUCAGUAGUUGGUCUGAGAGGACGACCAGCCACACUGGGACUGAGACACGGCCCAGACUCCUACGGGAGGCAGCAGUGGGGAAUUUUGGACAAUGGGCGCAAGCCUGAUCCAGCAAUGCCGCGUGAGUGAAGAAGGCCUUCGGGUUGUAAAGCUCUUUCAGUUGAAAAGAAAAAGUCGUGACUAAUAAUCAUGAUUCAUGACGGUAUCAACAGAAGAAGCACCGGCUAACUACGUGCCAGCAGCCGCGGUAAUACGUAGGGUGCAAGCGUUAAUCGGAAAUACUGGGCGUAAAGGGUGCGCAGGCGGGUUCUGUAA